CUUGCUAAGUUUGGUGGCGACCGGCGCACGGGUGAGUAACACGUAUCCAACCUGCCGAUGACUCGGGGAUAGCCUUUCGAAAGAAAGAUUAAUACCCGAUGGCAUAGUUCUUCCGCAUGGUGGAACUAUUAAAGAAUUUCGGUCAUCGAUGGGGAUGCGUUCCAUUAGGUUGUUGGCGGGGUAACGGCCCACCAAGCCUUCGAUGGAUAGGGGUUCUGAGAGGAAGGUCCCCCACAUUGGAACUGAGACACGGUCCAAACUCCUACGGGAGGCAGCAUG
rnacentral:rRNA from 1 species